UUGGAGGGCAAGUCUGGUGCCAGCAGCCGCGGUAAUUCCAGCUCCAAUAGCGUAUAUUAAAGUUGUUGAGGUUAAAAAGCUCGUAGUUGAACCUUGGGCCUAGCCGGCCGGUCCGCCUCACCGCGUGCACUGGCUCGGCUGGGUCUUUCCUUCUGGAGAACCGCAUGCCCUUCACUGGGUGUGCCGGGGAACCAGGACUUUUACUCUGAACAAAUUAGAUCGCUUAAAGAAGGCCUAUGCUCGAAUACAUUAGCAUGGAAUAAUAGAGUAGG
rnacentral:rRNA from 1 species